rnacentral:rRNA from 1 species
UACGUAGGGUGCGAGCGUUGUCCGGAAUUACUGGGCGUAAAGAGCUCGUAGGUGGUUUGUCGCGUUGUUCGUGAAAACUCACAGCUUAACUGUGGGCGUGCGGGCGAUACGGGCAGACUGGAGUACUGCAGGGGAGACUGGAAUUCCUGGUGUAGCGGUGGAAUGCGCAGAUAUCAGGAGGAACACCGGUGGUGAAGGCGGGGUCUCUGGGGCAGUAACUGACGCUGAGGAGCGAAAGCGUGGGGGAGCGAACAGG